GACGAACGCUGGCGGCGUGCCUAAUACAUGCAAGUAGAACGCUGAAGGAGGAGCUUGCUUCUCCGGAUGAGUUGCGAACGGGUGAGUAACGCGUAGGUAACCUGCCUGGUAGCGGGGGAUAACUAUUGGAAACGAUAGCUAAUACCGCAUAAGAGUAGAUGUUGCAUGACAUUUGCUUAAAAGGUGCAAUUGCAUCACUACCAGAUGGACCUGCGUUGUAUUAGCUAGUUGGUGGGGUAACGGCUCACCAAGGCGACGAUACAUAGCCGACCUGAGAGGGUGAUCGGCCACACUGGGACUGAGACACGGCCCAGACUCCUACGGGAGGCAGCAGUAGGGAAUCUUCGGCAAUGGACGGAAGUCUGACCGAGCAACGCCGCGUGAGUGAAGAAGGUUUUCGGAUCGUAAAGCUCUGUUGUAAGAGAAGAACGAGUGUGAGAGUGGAAAGUUCACACUGUGACGUAUCUACCAGAAA
rnacentral:rRNA from 1 species